ACUUGCAAUAAAGCAGGUUUAUGGAGCAACACUUCGUAGCGAAUAGAACUCGCAUUGGACUACUAUUAUAGGAGAAAUCAAAUG
rnacentral:ncRNA from 1 species